UUCCAGCUUUGUGGCUCAUCAUUGUGUUUGUGGGAGUUGCAGCACUCUUAAUAACUGUUGUUAUUGUUGUUGGACUCAUCAGAUGGAAGAAAACUAAAGGAAAAAAACCCCAGAUGGAUGAAAACACUGGACGGAGCUUAAACCCUGCAGUGAGUCCAGAAAGCAGUCAGGACACGGCUGAUCCUGAAGAUGGUGUUUCCUACGCCUCCAUCAGCUACAC